rnacentral:rRNA from 1 species
AAUGAACGCUGGCGGCAGGCCUAACACAUGCAAGUCGUGCGCGCGGCGGACGGGUGCGGCAUGCAUGUGGCUCUGCCUGACGGAGGGGGAUAAUUACUGGACACGGGAGGUAAUACCGCCGUCCAUCAGGUGAACCCAGAUGGGAUUGGCUUGUAGGUGAGGUAACGGCUCACCUAGGCGAUGAUCCCUAGCUGGUCUGAGAGGAGGAUCAGCCACACGGGGACUGAGACACGGCCCAGACUCCUCCGGGAGGCAGCAGUGGGGAAUAGUGCACAAUUGGCGCAAGACUGAUGCAGACAUGCCGAGUGUAUGAAGAAGGCCUUCGGGUUGUAAAGUACUUUCAGUCGGGAGGCGUUACCGACAGAAGAAGCACCGGCUAACUCCGUGCCAGCAGCCGCGGUAAUAC